rnacentral:snoRNA from 1 species
AUGCAUCUCUGACAGACCUGGAGCAAUUAAUAUCAGCUGCCAAGGUUUCCACCACAGAUGCAAGAAAAAAUUUGUGUGUUUUUUGGCUAUGUGGCUGUGGUAGCCAAGAUCAAAUGAGGGAAUACAGGA